ensembl:lncRNA
CAGCUGAUGGAGGUCCAAGAGUCUCACCCAACAAACAACCUACAGAGUGAAGACCUCAAAUCUGAUUGGACGGCCUCCUAUUCAGCCACAUUUUAGGCUGUUAGAUUGUUCCAGAUAAGACAAGUACAAGAUUCUUCAGAGCCAUUCUACCACGAGCCUGACAGGAAGAACUCCAACAGCUACUGAAUGUUCCUGUGGUUCCCUCAAGGCUACAGGAGGAGUCCUACGAGGACGAGCCGGUCCACCUGAUGGAGGCCAGUCGCUGCGGUUCAAAGCCAACACCGACUACGUGGACUUCUACUGGACCACACGGAGGCCUUCAAACCAGACCAACAAGUUCACAGACUCCCCGACUCGUGG